rnacentral:rRNA from 1 species
CGGAGGAUGCAAGCGUUAUCCGGAUUCAUUGGGUUUAAAGGGUGCGUAGGCGGCUUUUUAAGUCAGUGGUGAAAUCCUGCCGCUUAACGGUAGAAUUGCCAUUGAUACUGAAGAGCUUGAGUACAGUUGAGGUAAGCGGAAUGUGUAGUGUAGCGGUGAAAUGCUUAGAUAUUACACAGAACACCAAUUGCGAAGGCAGCUUACUAAACUGUCACUGACGCUGAUGCACGAAAGCGUGGGGAGCGAACAGGAUUAGAUACCCUGGUAGUCCACGCCGUAAACGAUGAUCACUCGCUGUAUGCGAUACACAGUAUGCGGCCAAGCGAAAGCAUUAAGUGAUCCACUGGGGAGUACGAUCGCAAGGUUG